rnacentral:rRNA from 1 species
AACGUAGGAGACGAACGUUAUCCGGAGUUACUGGGCGUAAAGGGCGUGUAGGUGGUUGUGUAAGUCUGGCGUGAAAUUUUUCGGCUUAACCGGGAAAGGUCGUCGGAUACUGCAGAACUAGAGGACGGUAGAGGCGUGUGGAAUUCCAGGUGUAGCGGUGAAAUGCGUAGAUAUCAGGAGGAACACCAAUGGCGAAGGCAGCUCGCUGGGACGUGACUGACGCUGAGACGCGAAAGCGUGGGGAGCAAACAGG